rnacentral:piRNA from 1 species
UAACUUAGGAAUUUCUGGUAUACUAUU